rnacentral:misc_RNA from 1 species
AACUUUUAACAAUGGAUCACUUGGCUCUUGCAUCGAUGAAGAACGCAGCGAAAUGCGAUAAGUAAUGUGAAUUGCAGAAUUCAGUGAAUCAUUGAAUCUUUGAACGCACCUUGCACCCUUUGGUAUUCCAAAGGGUAUGCUUGUUUGAGUGUCAUUAUACUCUCACACUCUCUCUAAUUAGAGAGAGCGGUGGACUUGGGUGUUGCCUGAUAUUUACUGUCAGGCUCAUCUAAAAUCAGUUAGUGCGACUCCUAGUUAAACAUAGUAUGGCAUGAUAAGUAAACCCUCGCUGUUUUCUGUCUGAUUAGGAGCUCUGUGCUUCAAACCGUCCUCGGACAAUGUCUGAUAACUUGGCCUCAAAUCGAGUAGGAUUACCUGCUGAACUUAAGCAUAUCAAUAAGCGGAGGCU